GACGAACGCUGGCGGCGUGCUUAACACAUGCAAGUCGAACGAUGAAGCCGGAGCUUGCUCUGGUGAAUUAGUGGCGAACGGGUGAGUAACACGUGAGUAACCUGCCCUUGACUCUGGGAUAACUGCGGGAAACUGUAGCUAAUACCGGAUACGACCCUCCGAGGCCUCUCCUGUGGGUGGAAAGAAUUUCGGUCAAGGAUGGACUCGCGGCCUAUCAGCUAGUUGGUGAGGUAAAGGCUCACCAAGGCGACGACGGGUAGCCGGCCUGAGAGGGUGACCGGCCACACUGGGACUGAGACACGGCCCAGACUCCUACGGGAGGCAGCAGUGGGGAAUAUUGCACAAUGGGCGCAAGCCUGAUGCAGCAACGCCGCGUGAGGGAUGACGGCCUUCGGGUUGUAAACCUCUUUUAGCAGGGAAGAAGCGAAAGUGACGGUACCUGCAGAAAAAGCACCGGCUAACUACGUGCCAGCCGCCGCCGUAA
rnacentral:rRNA from 1 species